GUAGUAUGCACGCUGGCGGCAGGCCUAACACAUGCAAGUCGUAACAAGGUAACCGAAUUCGCCCAUAGUGUCCCGGCGGACGGGUGAUUAAACGUGGGUAACCUGCCUGUAAGACUGGGAUAACUCCGGGAAACCGGGGCUAAUACCGGAUGGUUGUUUGAACCGCUUGGUUCAAACAUAAAAGGUGGUUUCUGCUACCACUUACGAAU
rnacentral:rRNA from 1 species